CUACGUGCCAGCAGCCGCGGUAAUACGGAAGGUCCGGGCGUUAUCCGGAUUUAUUGGGUUUAAAGGGAGCGUAGGCCGGAGAUUAAGUGUGUUGUGAAAUGUAGACGCUCAACGUCUGACUUGCAGCGCAUACUGGUUUCCUUGAGUACGCACAACGUUGGCGGAAUUCGUCGUGUAGCGGUGAAAUGCUUAGAUAUGACGAAGAACCCCGAUUGCGAAGGCAGCUGACGGGAGCGCAACUGACGCUUAAGCUCGAAGGUGCGGGUAUCGAACAGGAUUAGAUACCCCGGUAGUCCUGGCCGUAAACGAUGGGUACUAGGUGUAGGAGGUAUCGACCCCUUCUGUGCCGGAGUUAACGCAAUAAGUACCCCGCCUGGGGAGUACGACCGCAAGGUUGAAACUCAAAGGAAUUGACGGGGGCCCGCACAAGCGGUGGAGUAUGUGGUUUAAUUCGACGCAACGCGAAGAACCUUACCAGGUCUUGACAU
rnacentral:rRNA from 1 species